AAAAUCUUUAAAGUCGAUUAUCUCGGAAACUAUGAGAGAUAGGGACCUCUCAAACUUGGGUCCCUAUCUCUCAUAGUUUCCGAGAUAAUCGACUUCAAAGAUUUU
rnacentral:pre_miRNA from 1 species